rnacentral:rRNA from 1 species
GACGAACGCUGGCGGCGUGCUUAACACAUGCAAGUCGAACGUGAUUUUUGUGGAAAUUCUUUCGGGAAUGGAAAUGAAAUGAAAGUGGCGAACGGGUGAGUAACACGUGAGCAACCUACCUUACACAGGGGGAUAGCCGUUGGAAACGACGAUUAAUACCGCAUGAGACCACAGAAUCGCAUGAUAUAGGGGUCAAAGAUUUAUCGGUGUAAGAAGGGCUCGCGUCUGAUUAGCUAGUUGGAAGGGUAAAGGCCUACCAAGGCGACGAUCAGUAGCCGGUCUGAGAGGAUGAACGGCCGCAUUGGAACUGAGACACGGUCCAAACUCCUACGGGAAGCAGCAGUGGGGAAUAUUGCACAAUGGGGGGAACCCUGAUGCAGCGACGCCGCGUGAGCGAAGAAGGUUUUCGAAUCGUAAAGCUCUGUCCUAUGAGAAGAUAAUGACGGUAUCAUAGGAGGAAGCCCCGGCUAAAUACGUG